GAUGUUAACACUUGUGUGUCUACGUGUGUGUGUGUAAAGUGUUAUGUGUGCUGGACACCUGCCUGCUGAGUUGUACACAAGUGUUAGCGCCACACACACACACACACACACGCACGCGCACACACACGACAAACAAGUCAGCCAGCUGUGAUGUUGUGGAAGACUGAAGUUAAUUUUCAUAGUUAUGUUUUUCUGAUAUACAGUGGAGAGACACACACACACACACUGGAUAAUGGCUCAUAUUCCACCUGCUGUGUCUUAUUAUUGGACAAAGUCUCGCAGCAGCAGCAGAAGAUGAUUUUAUUGUGGGGAAACAAGUUUGGAACAUACGCUGUAAGGAGCAAACCACAGGGUGGGCUUAUGGGUGCAUGUCUUGCCCAAGGCUCGUCGGCAGGCAGACGAGCAGAGCCAGGAAUCGGACCCACAACCUUCAAGUAGAAGGACGACUCGCUCUACCACUGAACCACCGUGUGAGGUCAGGUUACGUUGGUGAAGUUAAUCCCAAAGAUGAUCCUGAUUUCUGCGGAAAACUUUGGUAAAUUCUGAUUUGAAUGAAUGAAUGAAUGAAUGAAUGAACGAGAUUGAUUCAACAUGUGAAUCUGUUGUCUCAGAUAAAACAAAUUGACUGAAUGAGCAAAUAAAAAGCACAUUUAUGUAAA